rnacentral:tRNA from 1 species
CAAGGUAUAGUUCAGUGGUAGAGUGUGUGCUUAGCAUGCACGAGGUCCUGGGUUCAAUCUCCAGUACCUCCG